GUUUUUUAGGGCACACGGUGGAUGCCUUGGCAUAUCAAGCCGAUGAAGGACGUGAGAGGCUGCGUUAUGCCUCGGGGAGUUGCCAACUAAGCGUUGAUCCGAGGAUGUCCGAAUGGGGAAACCCAGCUGCAGUAAUGUGUGGUUACCCAUCAGUGAAUAUAUAGCUGGUGUGGGGGUUGACACGGGGAAGUGAAACAUCUCAGUACCCGUAGGAGAAGAAAACAAUUGUGAUUCCGUUAGUAGUGGCGAGCGAACGUGGAUGAUGGCUAAAACUUAUGUGUGUGAUACCCGGCAGGGGUUGCAUGUAGGUGGUUGUGGGGCAACAACAUCCAUAUUCUGCCGGAUGUGGGCAUAUAUCGCGUGGUUAGUGGAAGUGGUGUGGGAACGCCUACCGUAGAAGGUGAGAGUCCUGUACAUGAAGGCCAUGGUGGUGUGUGUGGUUGUUGAUACCCCGAGUAGCAGCGGGCUCGUGGAAUCUGCUGUGAAUUAGCCGGGACCACCCGGUAAGCCUGAAUACUUGAUAUGACCGAUAGCGGAUUAGUACCGUGAGGGAAUGGUGAAAAGUACCCCGGGAGGGGAGUGAAAUAGUACCUGAAACCGUGUGCUGACAAUCCGUCAGAGCGCACCUUUGGUGUGUGAUGGCGUGCCUUUUGAAGAAUGAGCCUGCGAGUCAGCGGCAUGUCGCGAGGUUAACCCGUGUGGGGUAGCCGUAGGGAAACCGAAUCCUAACGAGGGUGAUUUUUUUAGUGGCAUGUCUUGGACCCGAAGCGGAGUGAUCUACCCAUGGCCAGUGUGAAGCAGCUGUAAGAGGUUGUGGAGGCGCGAACCCACUUAGGUUGAAAACUGAGGGGAUGAGUUGUGGGUAGGGGUGAAAGGCCAAUCAAACUCCGUGAUAGCUGGUUCUCCCCGAAAUGCAUUUAGGUGCAGCGUUGUGUGUUUCUUGCCGGAGGUAGAGCUACUGGAUGGUUUAGCGGGACUAUCAUCUUAGCGACAUCAGCCAAACUCCGAAUGCCGGUAAGUGAGAGUGCAGCAGUGAGACUGCGGGGGAUAAGCUUCGUAGUCGAGAGGGAAACAGCCCAGAUCGCCGGCUAAGGCCCCUAAGGGUGUGCUAAGUGGAAAAGGAGGUGGGGUCGCGAAGACAGCCAGGAGGUUGGCUUAGAAGCAGCCAUCCUUGAAAGAGUGCGUAAUAGCUCACUGGUCGAGUGAUUCCGCGCCGACAAUGUAGUGGGGCUUAAGUACACCGCCGAAGCCGCGGCAAUGAUCCCUUGUGGAUUGUUGGGUAGGGGAGCGUCGUGCACUACGGUGAAGCUUGAGGGUGACCUUGGGUGGAGUGUGUGCGAGUGAGAAUGCAGGCAUGAGUAACGAUUGAUGCGUGAGAAACGUAUCCGCCGGAUGACUAAGGGUUCCUGGGUCAAGUUAAUCUUCCCAGGGUGAGUCGGGGCCUAAGGCGAGGCCGACAGGCGUAGUCGAUGGAUAACGGGUUGAUAUUCCCGUACCCGAGUAUCAGCGACCAUGGUGAAUCAGUGAUACUAACCACCCAUAAGCACCUGUCACUUUCUUUGAUUGUGGUGGUGUGUGGUUGCGUGGGACCUGAUCUGGUAGUAGCUAAGUGAUGGGGUGACGCAGGGAGGUAGCCUAGCCACUUAUUGGAUUGUGGUGUAAGCGUGUGGCACGCAGUGUAGGUCAAAUCCGCACUGUUUUUGUGUGAGGCGUGAUGCGGAGCCCUUUUUGGGUGAAGUGGGUGAUCCUGUGCUGUCGAGAAAAGCCUCUAGCGAUGGUGGUAUUCGGCCCGUACCCUAAACCGACACAGGUAGUCAGGUAGAGAAUACUAAGGCGUUCGGGUGAACUGUGGUUAAGGAACUCGGCAAAAUGCCCCCAUAACUUCGGGAGAAGGGGGGCCACUACUGGUGGGAAGAUCAUGCAUCUUUUUUGCUGGUGGUGGUCGCAGAGAAUAGAGGGAAGCGACUGUUUACUAAAAACACAGGUCCGUGCGAAGACGUUGAAGUUGAUGUAUACGGACUGACGCCUGCCCGGUGCUGGAAGGUUAAGAGGACCGGUUAGUGAAGUUUACUUUGCGAAGCUGAGAAUUUAAGCCCCAGUAAACGGCGGUGGUAACUAUAACCAUCCUAAGGUAGCGAAAUUCCUUGUCGGGUAAGUUCCGACCUGCACGAAUGGCGUAACGACUUCCCUGCUGUCUCAACCACAGGCCCGGUGAAAUUGCAGUACGAGUAAAGAUGCUCGUUACGCGCGGCAGGACGAAAAGACCCCGGGACCUUCACUAUAGCUUGGUAUUGGUGUUUGAUUCGGUUUGUGUAGGAUAGGUGGGAGACUGUGAUCAUGUGACGCUAGUUGUGUGUGAGUCGUUGGUGAAAUACCACUCUGAUCGGAUUGGAUGUCUAACCUUGGCCCAUGAUCUGGGUUGGGGACAGUGCCUGGUGGGUAGUUUAACUGGGGCGGUUGCCUCCCAAAAUGUAACGGAGGCGCCCAAAGGUUUCCUCAGCUUGGUUGGUAAUCAGGUGGUGAGUGUAAGUGCACAAGGGAGCUUGACUGUGACACUGACAGGUGGAGCAGGGACGAAAGUCGGGACUAGUGAUCCGGCACCUACUUGUGGUUGUGGUGUCGCUCAACGGAUAAAAGGUACCCCGGGGAUAACAGGCUGAUCUUCCCCAAGAGUCCAUAUCGACGGGAUGGUUUGGCACCUCGAUGUCGGCUCGUCGCAUCCUGGGGCUGGAGUAGGUCCCAAGGGUUGGGCUGUUCGCCCAUUAAAGCGGCACGCGAGCUGGGUUUAGAACGUCGUGAGACAGUUCGGUCUCUAUCCGCCGCGCGCGUUGAAACUUGAAGGAAGGCUGUCCCUAGUACGAGAGGACCGGGACGGACGUACCUCUGGUGUGCCAGUUGUUCCGCCAGGAGCAGGGCUGGUUGGCUACGUACGGGAGGGAUAACCGCUGAAAGCAUCUAAGCGGGAAGCCUGUUUCGAGAUGAGGUUUCGUUUGAGGUUCCCUGUAGAUUAUGGGGUUGAUAGGCCAGAUCUGGAAGCACUGUGAGGUGUGGAGGUGACUGGUACUAAUGUACCGAUAA
rnacentral:rRNA from 2 species